CAUUUUCUGCUUCUGUUUAAAAACCACAUUAUAUUAGGAAUGAAAGCAAUUAAAAAGUAUGUGUUAUUACGAUUUUAUUUGCACCUUUUGCAAUGAAAAGGCAUUUAAAAUUUGUGUUUGUAUUACGCGUACAAUAUCCAAAUCAAUCGUAAAAUCAAGAGACUUAAUCUCUCUUGUUCCUAAUUAUCUAACUGGGAAAAAUAUUUCUGAUAAAACAACUGAUAAAAUCAACAGAAAUCAUGUGCCACAUAUUUUUAAUAGUUAAGUCCAUAACAUUACUAAAGGGCUGCCUUAAAAACAUUCAAAAAUGUUAGCUUCUGCAGUAAAUUCAAAAACCUUUCCAGCCAAAAAACUCGCAAUCGUAAAACUCAUAUUUAAAUUUUUAUGGCCCAGUUAUGAAAAACCGAUAAGCAGACUGAAAAAAUUAAGCUAACUAAAAUGUAUACUAAUCAAAUUACAUUUUAAUUUCUGAGAAUGCGACUAACUUUUAAGGUGAUACCAGACAAUACUAUAGUAUAGGGUAUUUGCUAUUAUAUUAAGAGGACUUAAAACAGUGAGUUUUGUGAGCAAUUUAAGCAAUCAAUCAAAUACGUUACACUUUUGUAAGUCUAAAUCUUAGAAGAAAAGCUUGCUUAAUACUUCUUUAUCGACAUAACAAAUUAUAGAUAAAAUACCCUAAAGCUAUGAGGAAUGUGGACUAAUGAAAAAUCGUUAAUUCGUGAGUUACACCUGAAAAUUAAACCAACUCAAGUUUACUUCAAGUUCUGCACAAAUGCACGAACAAGGAGAGCUCAACGGUUAUGCCAUUAUUUACAGAGUGACCCGAAAUAAUGCAGGCAUACUUGUAGGUUGAUCUUACAGAAAAAGUUGAAAAUUACAGAGGGAGAGGACUGAUGUUUUCAAAGUUUCCAUUCUAAACUUGGCUACAAAUGACAACUAAUGAUCAGUUUUCUUUUACCACUUGGUAAUGGAGAGGUAAAUCAUCCAUGCUGUAAAGGCAAUGAAUAGAACUUUUGGAUUCUUCCCGAA
rnacentral:lncRNA from 1 species